CUAAGAAUACAUGAAAGAUAAGACUCCACGGAUGCCAUGUGUAGGAAUCAGCUGCCACAAGGGGUAAAAAAGCAAUAUAAAACCACCAAGGAAAGGUGCAAUGAAAAGGUGGAGAAAUACAAACCGGGUGAGAAUGGAGAUUAUCUACUACACCGGAGUUCUGAUUGAUUGGAUCCAUGUGAAUCCAGAAAGCAGACUCGACUCGGGCUCAGUCCUGGUCAAAAUUUUGCCCAUGACUUGAAUGAGCACAACAGUGACAACCUGAUGAAUCUGCAGCUGACAUGACGCCAGAGGAGACGUGAAUAGAAGAGGAUAUCAGAAUCCGAAUCCAAAGAGAGGUCAGCAGCCUGGAGCGAUGGGGAGAACCUGGCGGGAUGAAAGUGGACAAGGGAAAAAAAGCCAGUACCCAGACUCAGCCAUCCUCUUGCUUCCACCUGGACUACAAGCAACUUGUUUUCAUGCAGACACUCUACUCUACUAGUUUGGUAUUUAGAAAAAUAAAUUACCC